CUCUUCCUUGGCCGGAUCUGGAUCGAUCCGUGCCACCCGAUCACCGGCGUGGAAGGGGCGAUUAGGGCUUCAAUGGGUCUCGGUGGAAGAUGAUGGGAUCCUUUGAGCUGUCGGCAGAGGCUAGGAGAGUUCUUGCUUGAUUGGUGAUCCCCACCGCUUGACCUCCUGCUUGAUCAGAUUGAUAGCAGCAAGGUGAGGUCUUGUUCUGUUCUUGCUGUGGAGUUGUUCUUGGUUCCGGCAACACUUCAACCAGUAGCUUCUCUGGUUCCAGCAAUCAACAGCAAUUGGAUCGAGGACUCUGAUUCGAGACG